rnacentral:misc_RNA from 1 species
AUUGGAUCCUGCUGCAGAAAGAGAAGGACUUGCAGUCAAGAAAACGAAGGAGGUGAAAAAGAUUAGACCCAGAUGGGAUUUUGGGGUCGAAGCCAUGGAUGGAAAUCGGGAUUCGGAAGUGAAAGAUUUGGGUGAAAAGAAAAGGAGGAUCUCAGUUGGUGAAGAAAUUCAAAUUGAUUUGGUGAGGUUUAUGGAUUUUCUGGAGGAACAGGGAACUCAG